rnacentral:rRNA from 1 species
AUUGAACGCUGGCGGCAGGCCUAACACAUGCAAGUCGAACGAGUGGCGGACGGGUGAGUAAUGUCUGGGAAACUGCCUGGUGGAGGGGGAUAACUACUGGAAACGGUAGCUAAUACCGCAUACCAUCGGAUGUGCCCAGAUGGGAUUAGCUAGUAGGUGGGGUAACGGCUCACCUAGGCGACGAUCCCUAGCUGGUCUGAGAGGAUGACCAGCCAACCUGGAACUGAGACACGGUCCAGAAUCCUACGGGAGGAAGCAGUGGGGAAUAUUGGACAAUGGGCGGAAGCCUUAUGCAGCCAUGCCGCGUUGAUGAAGAAGGCCUUCGGGUUGUAAAGUACUUUCAGCGGGGAGGCGUUACCCGCAGAAGAAGCACCGGCUAACUCCGUGCCAGCAGCCGCGGUAAUAC